GACCUCAAAUCAGGUAAAAACACCCGCUGAACUUAAGCAUAUCAAUAAGCGGAGGA
rnacentral:rRNA from 1 species